CAGGUGCACCCGUCUGGACGCUGAGUUUGGGCCCAGUGAUGCAUGCAGGACCGUAGAGGCGCCCGGUUCCGCUGGGGACCUGGGCGCUGGGGCCGCAGAAGCGCAGCGGCGCCACCUAGCGUCCAGCCGGCGCCGGCACCGGGCAAGCGCCUCGCUUUCUCCAAAAAGGAGCAAAGACGUGGAGCCCAGAAGGAACCCGUCUUUGGUGCCUGGAAAGCGUCGGCGGCGAAAGGAGGGCGAGAAGAAGCGCAGGGACAGCCUGAGCCCCGCUUCUAUUUCAAGUUGACACAUAUCCUUGCUUUCUUGCUCAGUCGUGUCCGACUCUUGCGACCGCAUGGACCGCAGCCUGCCAGGCUCCUCUGCCCUUGGGAUUCUCCAGGCAAGAAUACUGGAGUGGGUUGCCAUUUCCUUCUCCAGAAGAUUAACUGUCUUAAAACAACCAAGGUGAUGCUAGUCAGACCACUGAUGACCAAUCUGAAGAUGACUGUUAGAGAUGACUGUGCUGUUUCUGGAUGUUGCCCACCUCCGACUCUGCCUGUAAACUUUCUCACCCCUUGCUUGUUGGCCGGGGGUGAGGGGGUGGGGU
ensembl:lncRNA